rnacentral:tRNA from 1 species
AGGCCAAUGGCUCAAUUGGUAGAGCAGCGGUCUCCAAAACCGCAGGUUGGGGGUUCGAUUCCCUCUUGGCCUGCCA